GUAGUGAAGAAGGCCUUCGGGUUGUAAAGCUCUUUCGCAAGGGAAGAAACGAUACAGUCUAAUAAACUGUGUUAAUGACGGUACCUUGAUAAGAAGCACCGGCUAACUACGUGCCAGCAGCCGCGGUAAUACGUAGGGUGCGAGCGUUAAUCGGAAUUACUGGGCGUAAAGCGUGCGCAGGCGGUUUUGAAAGUCAGAUGUGAAAUCCCCGGGCUCAACCUGGGAACUGCGUUUGAAACUCCAAAGCUAGAGUAUGGGAGAGGGGGGUAGAAUUCCACGUGUAGCAGUGAAAUGCGUAGAGAUGUGGAGGAAUACCAAUGGCGAAGGCAGCCCCCUGGCUUAAUACUGACGCUCAUGCACGAAAGCGUGGGGAGCAAACAGGAUUAGAUACCCUGGUAGUCCACGCCCUAAACGAUGUCUACUAGUUGUUGGGAGAGUAAAAUCUCUUAGUAACGCAGCUAACGCGUGAAGUAGACCGACUGGGGAGUACGGUCGCAAGAUUAAAACUCAAAGGAAUUGACGGGGAGCCGAACAAGCGGUGGAUUAUGUGGAUUAAUUCGAUGCCACGAGAAGAAACUUAACUGGCCUUGACA
rnacentral:rRNA from 1 species